rnacentral:rRNA from 1 species
CCUACGGGUGGCAGCAGUGAGGAAUAUUGGUCAAUGGUCGCGAGCCUGAACCAGCCAAGUCGCGUGAAGGAUGACUGCCCUGCGUGUUGUAAACUUCUUUUAUCAGGGAAUAAAGUCAGGCACGUGUCCCUUUUUGUGUGUACUUUAUGAAUAAGCAUCGGCUAACUCCGUGCCAGCAGCCGCGGUAAUACGGAGGAUCCGAGCGUUAUCCGGAUUUAUUGGGUUUAAAGGGUGCGUAGAUGGGUUGUUAAGUCAGUUGUGAAAGUUUGCGGCUCAACCGUAAAAUUGCAAUUGAUACUGGCAGUCUUGAGUACAGUUGAGGUAGGCGGAAUUCGCGGUGUAGCGGUGAAAUGCUUAGAUAUCACGAAGAACUCCGAUUGCGAAGGCAGCAUACUAACCUGCCACUGACACUGAUGCACGAAAGUGUGGGUAUCAAACAGGAUUAGAUACCCGGGUAGUC